GAUGAACGCUGGCGGCGUGCCUAAUACAUGCAAGUCGAGCGAACGGACGAGAAGCUUGCUUCUCUGAUGUUAGCGGCGGACGGGUGAGUAACACGUGGAUAACCUACCUAUAAGACUGGGAUAACUUCGGGAAACCGGAGCUAAUCCCGGAUAAUAUUUUGAACCGCAUGGUUCAAAAGUGAAAGACGGUCUUGCUGUCACUUAUAGAUGGAUCCGCGCUGCAUUAGCUAGUUGGUAAGGUAACGGCUUACCAAGGCAACGAUGCAUAGCCGACCUGAGAGGGUGAUCGGCCACACUGGAACUGAGACGGGGUCCAGACUCCUACGGGAGGGAGCAGUAGGGAAUCUUCCGCAGUGGGCGAAAGCCUGACGGAGCAACGCCGCGUGAGUGAUGAAGGUCUUCGGAUCGUAAAACUCUGUUAUGAGGGAAGAACAUAUGUGUAAGUAACUGUGCACAGCGUGACGGUACCUAAUCAGAAAGCCACGGCUAACUACGUG
rnacentral:rRNA from 1 species